rnacentral:rRNA from 1 species
ACCAGACUCCUACGGGAGGCAGCAGUGGGGGAUAUUGCACAAUGGGGGGAACCCUGAUGCAGCGACGCCGCGUGGGUGAAGAAGCGCCUCGGCGCGUAAAGCCCUGCCAGCAGGGAAGAAAAUGACGGUACCUGAAGAAGAAGCCCCGGCUAACUACGUGCCAGCAGCCGCGGUAAUACGUAGGGGGCAAGCGUUAUCCGGAUUUACUGGGUGUAAAGGGGGCGCAGACGGCGAUGCAAGCCAGGAGUGAAAGCCCGGGGCCCAACCCCGGGACUGCUCUUGGAACUGCGUGGCUGGAGUGCAGGAGGGGCAGGCGGAAUUCCUGGUGUAGCGGUGAAAUGCGUAGAUAUCAGGAGGAACACCGGUGGCGAAGGCGGCCUGCUGGACUGCAACUGACGUUGAGGCCCGAAAGCGUGGGGAGCAAACAGGAUUAGAUACCCUGGUAA